GAUGAACGCUAGCUACAGGCUUAACACAUGCAAGUCGAGGGGCAGCAUGGUCCUAGCUUGCUAAGGCCGAUGGCGACCGGCGCACGGGUGAGUAACACGUAUCCAACCUGCCGUCUACUCUUGGACAGCCUUCUGAAAGGAAGAUUAAUACAAGAUGGCAUCAUGAGUCCACAUGUUCACAUGAUUAAAGGUAUUCCGGUAGACGAUGGGGAUGCGUUCCAUUAGAUAGUAGGCGGGGUAACGGCCCACCUAGUCUUCGAUGGAUAGGGGUUCUGAGAGGAAGGUCCCCCACAUUGGAACUGAGACACGGUCCAAACUCCUACGGGAGGCAGCAGUGAGGAAUAUUGGUCAAUGGGCGAGAGCCUGAACCAGCCAAGUAGCGUGAAGGAUGACUGCCCUAUGGGUUGUAAACUUCUUUUAUAAAGGAAUAAAGUCGGGUAUGGAUACCCGUUUGCAUGUACUUUAUGAAUAAGGAUCGGCUAACUCCGUGCCAGCAGCCGCGGUAAUACGGAGGAUCCGAGCGUUAUCCGGAUUUAUUGGGUUUAAAGGGAGCGUAGAUGGAUGUUUAAGUCAGUUGUGAAAGUUUGCGGCUCAACCGUUAAAUUGCAGUUGAUACUGGAUAUCUUGAGUGCAGUUGAGGCAGGCGGAAUUCGUGGUGUAGCGGUGAAAUGCUUAGAUAUCACGAAGAACUCCGAUUGCGAAGGCAGCCUGCUAAGCUGCAACUGACAUUGAGGCUCGAAAGUGUGGGUAUCAAACAGGAUUAGAUACCCUGGUAGUCCACACGGUAAACGAUGAAUACUCGCUGUUUGCGAUAUACAGCAAGCGGCCAAGCGAAAGCGUUAAGUAUUCCACCUGGGGAGUACGCCGGCAACGGUGAAACUCAAAGGAAUUGACGGGGGCCCGCACAAGCGGAGGAACAUGUGGUUUAAUUCGAUGAUACGCGAGGAACCUUACCCGGGCUUAAAUUGCAGAUGAAUUACGGUGAAAGCCGUAAGCCGCAAGGCAUCUGUGGAGGUGCUGCAUGGUUGUCGUCAGCUCGUGCCGUGAGGUGUCGGCUUAAGUGCCAUAACGAGCGCAACCCUUGUUGUCAGUUACUAACAGGUUCCGCUGAGGACUCUGACAAGACUGCCAUCGUAAGAUGUGAGGAAGGUGGGGAUGACGUCAAAUCAGCACGGCCCUUACGUCCGGGGCUACACACGUGUUACAAUGGGGGGUACAGAGGGCCGCUACCACGCGAGUGGAUGCCAAUCCCAAAAACCUCUCUCAGUUCGGACUGGAGUCUGCAACCCGACUCCACGAAGCUGAAUUCGCUAGUAAUCGCGCAUCAGCCACGGCGCGGUGAAUACGUUCCCGGGCCU
rnacentral:rRNA from 1 species